GCGGUGCUGCUUGGUAGAAGAAGGGAGGAGGGUGAGCAGACGUCAUACAAGGAGGGACGGUGAAAGGAAGGCUCACAUGUGCCGCUGCCUUAUUUAACCUGGAUUUUCGCUGAACAGGACAGUGACAUGGGCCAUGACUACCACUGUGUGCUGGUGCAGGCUUGCUGCUUGGCGGGAAGUGCCUGUGAGGGCCAGCAGCUUGUCAGGAGGGCCAGGGAGACUCAGAAUAUUGGUUGGGACCCCUCAAGAGACCUGCCCAAGUGUUAGUUUGUGAUGGAGGGGCAGCUGCUGAUGGGCAAGCUUGGGGAUCUACUGGAGGAGCAGGAAGAACCUGGAGGGAAUGGUGGAAGUGAAGUACUUGAAGAAGCUCCCUACACUCACCCCCAAGGAUUCCUUCCACCUUGACGACUGGUUUUCUGCUGUACAGACUACAGACCACUGAACAAUAUUUCACCCUAACCCAGUCUCCUCUCACCCUACGUCCCCUGCACAGGCCGCUGACAGGGUGUGACAUCAAUAUCCAACACCUGUGGUAUGUGCAGGAGCUGGCAGAGGGGCAGGGUGACAGGGCCCACUGCCUCACCAUCCCUGCCCACCAUGCCCCUGACAAGUUCGUCACCUGGGUACAUGCUCAGGCACCCCUGCAGUUAUUCUCUAGGUGAUCUAUGUUUUCUGUUGAUAUACAUUGUGAAGCUUUCUACUUGCAAAUAAGAAAAAAAUGUUUCUCAGGUUAUGUAAUGUAUUAUAGCUUUUUUCAAGUUCACAGAAGAUUGUUACUUAAGUUCUUAUAAUGUUCUCAUUAAUAAUGCAUUAAUAAUGCAUUAUUAAAAGAUGAGUUAGAUCAAGAAAACAGCCUUGAAAACUAUUAUUUUAUUAAAGAGCCUGUUAAAAAUAGUUGACAUAGGAUGAUGAAAAGUUUGGGAACACAUGCUUGGAUAGUGAGAGUAAGAGCAUGAGCAGAGCAGAGCACUGAGAGGCGAGAGAGGUGCUUCCAACCCUCAGCUGCUCUCCUCCCUAUCACUGCACUGGUGAUUGAGUGACUGGGGAAUGGAAGUAGCUAGAUGCUGCAUGGCCAGAGAACACUAGCCUCGUGAGGUGUGGCAAUAUAUUAGUGUGAUGAUGGUGUGUGUGAUGAGAGGCUAGUGUUCAGUAAAUAGGUGUAAAUAGAUAGGCUUCAUUCAUGUACUGCCACUACUUCUUGCAACUUCCUUUAUGUUCUUAUGUGUGUGUGACAAGAGGCUGGGAUGCAUUCUAAAUGUUUCAGUGUCUAAAACUCUGAUAUUGUGGGUUAGGCUGCAAUGGAAGGGAAAGAUCCAUGAUACCGUGACUAAUUAUCUCUACUGCCUAUGAAAGUGUGGAGAGAGGAAAGUGGUUUGAUUUGCAGGCCUUGUGUGAUAUGGUUGAUGAGAGGCUGUGACUUUGUGGUGAAUAUGGAAGUAGUAAUGAUAUAGCUAUGAGAGAGAGAGAGAGAGAGAGAGAGUGUGUGUGUGUGUGUGUGUGUGUGUGUGUGUGCGCAUGUGUAAAGACAAUUUGUUCCUCCUUUGGUUGGCUUGUUCAUUACUUGUACUCACCAAUUGAAUCCUGGUUCAUCAUUGCAUUUCCUUUCUUUCACAAUUGUAUACAGUAAUGCAAUAAUGUCUAGUCCAUUCUGCCAUGUGUGUUGCAUGUGCAGACAUUGGUUGCAUUGGUAGAGGGUUCUGGAGUGAUAGAGAGUGAUGAGGGAACAAGUGGUGAGUGAUUGCUUAUGCUCUUCUUCCAUUUUGUAAAGUCGGGGGGUGAUGGUGGUUGUAGCUGGCAGUGUCCCUGUGUACUUGGGUGUGUCUGGGUGUGGGUGACUCGGGUAAAAUUUUGUAUUUUUCACGUAAUUCAUCAAAGUUUGCGUUGCAUAUUGAGUCUUUAGUGUGUAUAAUCCUUGCAUUACUUAAUUUUGAUGUCCUCGACUUGUUUAACCUUUUUAGGUGUGGUAGCCAUACAUUUGGAUUUAAUGAGUACUCUUUUA